rfam:Rhabditophanes sp. KR3021 genome assembly, scaffold: RSKR_scaffold0000107
UAUCUGAUUGAUCCUGUCUGAAUUGAUGUGCUUAUUUCAAAGAUUAAGCCAUGCAUGUAUCAGUACAACGUUCACGUGAAACCGCGGAAAGCUCAUUAUAACAGCUAUAAUUUACACGGCAAAUUCCCUAGUUGGAUAACUGAGGUAAUUCUUGAGCUAAUACACGCAAUCUAAGCCACAUCCGUGGUGCGUUUAUUUGAUUAAACUAGAAAUUGGUUGACUCAAAAUAUCUUUGCUGAACUACUCACGUAGUCAUGCCGUAUAAGUAUCUGCUUUAUCAACUUUCGAUGGUAGGGUAUUGGCCUACCAUGGUGUUGACGGAUAACGGAGAAUCAGGGUUCGACUCCGGAGAGGGAGCCUGAGAAACGGCUACCACAUCCAAGGAAGGCAGCAGGCGCGAAAAUUACCCAAUUUUAGUUAAAAGAGGUAGUGACGAAAAAUGACAAGGCUACAAAUUUUGUUUGUAGUCAUUGGAAAUCUUCGAGUCUAAAUAACUCGUUGGUAAAGGAAAGGGCAAGUCUGGUGCCAGCAGCCGCGGUAAUACCAGCUUUCCAAGUGCAUAAAAUGAUUGUUGUGGUUAAAAAGCUCGUAGUUGGAUUUUAACAGACUGUCUAUGAUCGUCAAUGACGUUUCAUAGCAUCUGCCAGCGAAUAUAACUAUUCGCUAGUUACUUUGAAUAAAUCAGAGUGUUCAAAACAGACUUACGUCCGUAUAUCCUAGCAUGGAAUAACACUAUAGCUCAAAAUUGUGUGGUUUCACUAUUUUGAUCAUGAUUAAUAGGAACAAACGGGGGCAUUCGUAUCGCUACGUUAGAGGUGAAAUUCUUGGACCGUAGCGAGACGUACUACUGCGAAAGCAUUUGCCAAGAAUGUUUUCAUUAAUCAAGAACGAAAGUUAGAGGUUCGAAGGCGAUCAGAUACCGCCCUAGUUCUAACCGUAAACGAUGCCUACUAGCGGUGCGAAUAUAGAGUAAUCUAUACUUGCGCAGCUUCUCGGAAACGAAAGUCUUUCGGUUCCGGGGGAAGUAUGGUUGCAAAGCUGAAACUUAAAGGAAUUGACGGAAGGGCACCACCAGGAGUGGAGCCUGCGGCUUAAUUUGACUCAACACGGGAAAACUCACCCGGGCCGGACACCGUAAGGAUUGACAGAUUGAUAGCUCUUUCAUGAUUUGGUGGUUGGUGGUGCAUGGCCGUUCUUAGUUCGUGGAUUGAUUUGUCUGGUUGAUUCCGAUAACGAACGAGACUGUUAGGUAGUGUUAGGUUGUAUUAUUUUUAAUAAUAUUUCCUCCACGACCGAUUAAUAGUGUUUAACUAUUUGAGAAAGAGCGAUAACAGGUCUGUGAUGCCCUUAGAUGUCCGGGGCUGCACGCGCGCUACAAUGUAGUGAGCAUCAUGUUCCUGCUUCGAGAGAAGUGGGUAAACCUUGAAAACAUUACGUAACUGGGAGUGAAACUUGCAAUUAUGUUUCAUGAACGAGGAAUUCCAAGUAAACGCGAGUCAUUAGCUCGCAUUGAUUACGUCCCUGCCCUUUGUACACACCGCCCGUCGCUGCCCGGAACUGAGCCGUAUCGAGAAGAUUGGGGAGAGUUGGUAUUUAUAUCAGUUCAAACCAAUUUAAUCGCUAUAGUUUGAACCGGGCAAAAGUCGUAACAAGGUUUUCGUAGGUGAACCUGCGAAAGGAUCAUUA